CGGUGGCGGGCUUUGCUCGUCCACCGUUUACUUUGGUGACUCUGAAUAACUUUGUGCUGAUCGCACGGUCUCGUACCGGCGACGCAUCUUUCAAAUGUCUGCCUUAUCAACUGUCGAUGGUAGGUUCUGCGCCUACCAUGGUUGUAACGGGUAACGGGGAAUCAGGGUUCGAUUCCGGAGAGGGAGCCUGAGAAACGGCUACCACAUCCAAGGAAGGCAGCAGGCGCGCAAAUUACCCACUCCCGGCACGGGGAGGUAGUGACGAAAAAUAACGAUACGGGACUCAUCCGAGGCCCCGUAAUCGGAAUGAGUACACUUUAAAUCCUUUAACGAGGAUCAAUUGGAGGGCAAGUCUGGUGCCAGCAGCCGCGGUAAUUCCAGCUCCAAUAGCGUAUAUUAAAGUUGUUGCGGUUAAAAAGCUCGUAGUUGAAUCUGUGUCGCACGCUGUCGGUUCGCCGCUCGCGGUGUUUAACUGACAUGCUCGUGAGACGUCCUACCGGUGGGCUUAGCUCCUUCGGGGGCGGUCCAACUAAUAUCCCAUCGCGGUGCUCUUUAUUGAGUGUCGAGGUGGGCCGGUACGUUUACUUUGAACAAAUUAGAGUGCUUAAAGCAGGCUAUCAUUUGCCUGAAUAUUCUGUGCAUGGAAUAAUGGAAUAGGACCUCGGUUCUAUUUUGUUGGUUUUAAGAAACCCGAGGUAAUGAUUAAUAGGGACAGAUGGGGGCAUUCGUAUUGCGACGUUAGAGGUGAAAUUCUUGGAUCGUCGCAAGACGGACAGAAGCGAAAGCAUUUGCCAAAAAUGUUUUCAUUAAUCAAGAACGAAAGUUAGAGGUUCGAAGGCGAUCAGAUACCGCCCUAGUUCUAACCAUAAACGAUGCCAGCUAGCGAUCCGCCGAAGUUCCUCCGAUGACUCGGCGGGCAGCUUCCGGGAAACCAAAGCUUUUGGGUUCCGGGGGGAGUAUGGUUGCAAAGCUGAAACUUAAAGGAAUUGACGGAAGGGCACCACCAGGAGUGGAGCCUGCGGCUUAAUUUGACUCAACACGGGAAACCUCACCAGGCCCGGACACCGGAAGGAUUGACAGAUUGAGAGCUCUUUCUUGAUUCGGUGGGUGGUGGUGCAUGGCCGUUCUUAGUUGGUGGAGCGAUUUGUCUGGUUAAUUCCGAUAACGAACGAGACUCUAGCCUGCUAAAUAGGCGUACCUUAUGGUAUCUUGAAGGCCCCCGGCUUCGGUCGGUGGGUUUUUACUACCAACGUACAAAUAAAUCUUCUUAGAGGGACAGGCGG
rnacentral:rRNA from 1 species